CCGCCGCCGCCCCGGCUCGGACUAGCUCCCCGGACGCCUGUGCGUGGGGCCGCGGGCGGGGCCGGGGCGGUGCCGGCGCGAGCCUCAGUUUCCCCACCCGGGACCCGGUCCGGCCGCUCCGGACGCUCGAGCCGGGAGGGUUCUGUCGCUCGCAGCCCUCUCCCCACUCGGCGCACCUUCUGCAGCCUUGACUCGGCACCCGUCCCACCCGAACCCCUGACCAGAGCCCUGCUCCCUGGGCCCGGACGCCCACGCAGAUCUGGAUGGGAAAGUAGGGGUAGAGUCUGCCUCCAUCCCUGCACGUCCGCAGGUGACAGCUCACCAUGAAGGUGGGCUUGGCGCCCGUGGCCAGUGGUGGCCUCGUGGCGGGGGACCCGGGCUGCCAACAGCUGCGCCAACACCUGGCGCGGGGCAGAGCCUGUUCCUUCCCCCAGGUGCCCUGACAUCUGGCCCUGGGCUGGUCACCAUUGAGGACAGUCAGGUAGACCCGUCCGGAGGAGGAAAACAAAAUGUCACCUGUGGAACGAAUGGAGGACUCUGAGAACCCCUGGGCAGAGUAGCAGCUUCAUCAGUACAGAGGGCUGUGCCCUGCACCUUGUGGGACCUGGAGGGGACCCUCAUCUAUAAAGUGGGCUGCACACCCUGCUUUGUCUAGUAUUCUAAGUGCUCUCUGUUCUUCCUUCUCUGCCCAUAGCAUCAACAUCAUAGCGUUGGCAUGGGGCAGUUUGUUGAUUAGUAGUAAUUAGAAUGAAUUAUGAUUCUUCCAGAGGAGUUUGCCAACGUACACCCCACAUCACAGGAGUUUGGGAUGGGUGGGGGCUCAGCUAGAAAAUGUAAAGGGAGGUGCUAGGUUUAUCGGCCCUCCAGCCAGUGCCCCCCACAUGAGGCUGUGUCCCUCCAGGAAAGCCCACACCUUGGACUCUGAAACAUCCUGGGGUGGUAGCCACCUGGGGUUUCUACUUGCCUGUUUUCCAGCCAUAGCACCUCCAUUUUCCUGUGGAGGUACCCAUUUUUAGCCUGCAAGCUUUGAAUUGGACUGACCCCUAGCCCUGGCUGCAGAGCUGGGUCAUCCAACCAAUGUCCUAGGGCCCCUGGCUGCAGUGGUUCAUUUGGGGACAGCAUGUGACUUGGUCUUUUUCUGGGGACACGAUGCUGGGGUGACUGAGCUGGGAGAACUUGGGCCUGCAGCUAAAGGACCAUCUCAUCACCACGAGGCCUGUGAAAAAAGUUGGCCCUCAGGAAAGCUGAACUGCCUGGUGGGAACGUGCUGAUGAGCCUGUUUGUGCUCUGGAUCCAGCCAUGCCUGAC
rnacentral:lncRNA from 1 species